GACGAACGCUGGCGGCGUGCUUAACACAUGCAAGUCGAACGAAGUGGCGAACGGGUGAGUAACGCGUAAUCAACCUGCCCUUCAGUGGGGGACAACAGUUGGAAACGACUGCUAAUACCGCAUACUGAAGGAGGGGAUUGCGUCUGAUUAGCUAGUUGGAGGGGUAACGGCCCACCAAGGCGAUGCUCAGUAGCCGGGCUGGGGGGAGGAACGGACACAUUGGGACUGGGACAAGGCCCAGACUCCUACGGGGGGCAGCAGGGGGGAAUCUUCCGCAAUGGAGGAAAGGCUGACGGGGCAACGCCGGGUGAGGGAUGACGGCCUUCGGGUUGUAAAGCUCUGUUAAUCGGGACGCGGUACCGGAAUAGAAAGCCACGGCUAACUACGUGCCAGCAGCCGCGGUAAUAC
rnacentral:rRNA from 1 species